AGAGUUUGAUCCUGGCUCAGGAUGAACGCUAGCGGCAGGCCUAAUACAUGCAAGUCGAACGAUAGUGAGAAGCUUGCUUCUCACGAAAGUGGCGCACGGGUGCGUAACGCGUAUGCAACCUACCUUAAUCAGGGGGAUAGCCCGAAGAAAUUCGGAUUAACACCGCAUAAAAUCACAGUAUAGCAUUAUACAAUGAUCAAAUAUUUAUAGGAUUAAGAUGGGCAUGCGUGACAUUAGUUAGUUGGCGGGGUAACGGCCCACCAAGACCACGAUGUCUAGGGGAUCUGAGAGGAUGACCCCCCACACUGGUACUGAGACACGGACCAGACUCCUACGGGAGGCAGCAGUAAGGAAUAUUGGUCAAUGGAGGCAACUCUGAACCAGCCAUGCCGCGUGCAGGAAGACAGCCCUCUGGGUCGUAAACUGCUUUUAUUCGGGAAUAAACCUAUCUACGUGUAGAUAGCUGAAUGUACCGAAGGAAUAAGGAUCGGCUAACUCCGUGCCAGCAGCCGCGGUAAUACGGAGGAUCCAAGCGUUAUCCGGAUUUAUUGGGUUUAAAGGGUGCGUAGGCGGCUUAUUAAGUCAGGGGUGAACGACGGUGGCUCAACCAUCGCAGUGCCUUUGAUACUGAUGAGCUUGAAUAUACUAGAGGUAGGCGGAAUGUGACAAGUAGCGGUGAAAUGCAUAGAUAUGUCACAGAACACCGAUUGCGAAAGCAGCUUACUAUGGUAUUAUUGACGCUGAGGCACGAAAGCGUGGGGAUCAAACAGGAUUAGAUACCCUGGUAGUCCACGCCCUAAACGAUGAAUACUCGCUGUUAGCGAUAUACAGUUAGCGGCUAAGCGAAAGCGUUAAGUAUUCCACCUGGGGAGUACGCUCGCAGAGUGAAACUCAAAGGAAUUGACGG
rnacentral:rRNA from 1 species